UACGCAGUGAAUCAUGAAAUGACGUAAUUAUUCGAGUGUUUGGGUUUUUUAAAUAAAGGGACUGGGUAAAUAUUAAGUUUCAAUGAUACGGGGAUACGGUGAUACGCAGUGAAGGAAAUUACGUAAUUAUUCGAGUGUUUCGGUAUUUAAAUAAACGGGGAAUCGUUAAUCAAAUAAUUAAUCUAUAUUCUAUUUUCAAUAAUAAGGAGUUAUAAAUAUAUUAUAUUUCUCGUUCUUAAAUACUUAAUAAACACCGGACAAAAUAUUACUCAUAUAUUGUAUUUCUCGUUCUCAAUAAACCCCGCACAAAAUAUUACUCAUAUAUUGUAUUUCUCUACAGUAUAUUCUAUAUUUUCAGUACUAAAGGGUUACAAAUAUACUGUAUUUCUCGUUCUCAAUAAACCCCUAAACCCGCAAAAAAUAUUACUCAUAUAUUGUAUUUCUCGUUCUCAAUAAACCCCGCACAAAAUAUUACUCGUAUAUUGUAGUUCUCGUUCUCAAUAAACCCCGCACAAAAAUUACUCAUAUAUUGUAUUUCUCGUUCUCAAUAAACCCCGCACAAAAUAUUACGUAUCAUUGAAAUAUAAUAGUUACCCACUCUCCUCUUAAACUACUCGAAUAAUUACGUCAUUUUCUUCACUGCGUAUCCCCGUAUCAUUGAAAUAUAAUAGUUACCAAUUCUCCUCUUAAACUACUCGAAUAAUUACGUCAUUUUAAUGACUGCGUAUCCCC